CCUACGUCAAAAUACAACAGGAUGUUUACAAUUAUGUAUUUAACCUAUUUCACUGAACAACAGUUCGUGGAAAAUUACUCCUCCUAGGUACCGUAUAAAAAGCCCUGAAACAAGGACAAUUGACAGAACGAUAUCAAACUUAGACGGGAUGAAAUAGUUUGCAUUGAUUUCUGUAAAGCAAAAUGGCCGUACAACUACGUUUGGUAGUUCCUGGAAUAUUUUUUGUCUUGAUGUGUCUUAUUGGAACCGACACAUUGUGGUCUAAUACUGCUGCUUGCGGGGGAAGAAGAUAUACUACCAGCGUUAGCAUAUGUUGUGGCGGGCGAAUUAACCGUCGAUCUGGUCUAAGUCCAGCUUGUUGCGGUACAAGCAGUUACGAUUCAAGGGUUAACAUAUGCUGUGGGAGUCAAAUUAACCGCAGAUCUGGUAUAAGUCCAGCUUGUUGCGGUACAAGCAGUUACGAUUCAAGGGUUAACAUAUGCUGUGGGGGACAAAUUAACCGUCGAUCUGGUAUAAGUCCAGCUUGUUGUGGUACGAGCAGUUACGAUUCAAGGGUUAACAUAUGUUGUGGGGACAAAUUAACCGUCGAUCUGGUAUAAGUCCAGCUUGUUGCGGUACAAGCACUUACGAUUCAAGGAUUAACAUAUGUUGUGGGGGACAAAUUAACCGUCGAUCUGGUCUAAGUCCAGCUUGUUGCGGUACAAGCACUUACGAUUCAAGGAUUAACAUAUGUUGUGGGGGACAAAUUAACCGUCGAUCUGGUAUAAGUCCAGCUUGUUGUGGUACGAGCAGUUACGAUUCAAGGGUUAACAUAUGUUGUGGGGGACAAAUUAACCGUCGAUCUGGUAUAAGUCCAGCUUGUUGCGGUACAAGCACUUACGAUUCAAGGAUUAACAUAUGUUGUGGGGGACAAAUUAACCGUCGAUCUGGUCUAAGUCCAGCUUGUUGCGGUUCAAGCACUUACGAUUCAAGGAUUAACAUAUGUUGUGGGGGACAAAUUAACCGUCGAUCUGGUCUAAGUCCAGCUUGUUGCGGUACAAGCAGUUACGAUGCCCGCGUCAGGAUGUGCUGCGGCAAUAGGGUAUGUUAGAAUAAGGCUAACAUUACGCCACAGAUUGUAGAAGAAAAAGUAGGGAAACAAAUCUCCAGUCGAACAUGAAUUUCAUUAGUAUGACAGAACAAAGAUACUUUAAAAAUAUGAAUUUUUAUAUCAUAUCAUACUUCGCGGCGUAGUAGAGGGUUGUGUCCCCGCCGCGUGAAAAAACAAUACACAUCAAACAUACUAAAACUGUUAGUGUUUCGUGGGAAAAUAGUUUUAUCACAAAGACCUUUUUAGAAGGGUACACUACUGUACAUACUUUACUUUAUAAAAGAAAAAGAAAAUCAGUUUGAAAGAAAA